rnacentral:lncRNA from 13 species
CAGUCACCCUGGAAGUCUCUGAAGUUGUGUCCUCUGCACGCUACAGAAGGCUUUCGAAUUCGACCACCAAAAUUCAGACUUAUGAAAGGGCAAACCCCACGGAGUCUCCCUACACAAGCUCUCUUCUCUUGUCUGCCGCCAUGUGAGCUGUGCCUUUCACCUCCUGCCAUGAUUGUGAGGCCUUCCCGGCCAUGUGGAACUGUAAGUCCAUCAUACCUCUUUCUUUUGAAAAUUGCCCAGUCUCAGAUAUCUCUUUAUCAGCAGCACGAAAAUGGACUAAUACCUCAGAAGUGCUAAGAGUAAACUGGAAGCUUUGAAGGAGUUUAUCCAGGCAGGUUGCCUCCACAUUUUGGCCAGCUGCCUGGGAGCUUGAAGCCAUCUUUUGGAUUUAGCCCAAGAUUCUCAAACUUGUGAUCAGUUAUACUCCAAGGACUCUGUAAAGGAAUUUCUCUUUUUUUAGUCAUUACAUGGAGCAUGAUGCACUGGGAUUGUCGAAAUGUUGUUUGGUGUGAUUGCAAGUUUGUUAUUGAUAUAAUUGGUGCCGCCAGAGAAAAGCAGCUAAAACUUCUGGGAAAUUUACUCUUAAUAUUGUAACAUAUAAUAUAAGGGGAAAAGCAGAACCACAAUAAUGAUUGGGGAUUUGUGGUUCCCAUGUGCUUGAAGAUGUGUGUCCUUGGGAUGUUGAUAAUGUACAAAGUUUCAUGCCCUCAUCUCCCUGCUUUCCAGCCUUUUUAAGAUCUGAAAGGAAAUUUGCAAAUUGGUCUCUGAAAGCUAUAACUGAUACAUCAGCAAAUCAGAGCUGGCCUUGGUGAGUGAAGUCUAAAUCCUGGGGCCCAGACCUGGACCCCAAGGAUGGAAGAAGCAUUGUACACCUGGAGACCAAAGAGCCCUUCUCGAAAGAGACACCCACUUCAGGUGCAGGGGUGGUUCAUUCUACUUCUGAAAAACAAACUUGCAUUUCCCCUGCCCCUCCUCUCCCAUUGUUGACGACACUCCCACCCCAAUCUCCAGCCUGCUGACACAGAGAGAAUGUGUCCCAACUGGCAGAAUAAAGUUGUCUGGGGCCACUCUCCA